rnacentral:rRNA from 1 species
UGGGGAAUAUUGCACAAUGGAGGGAACUCUGAUGCAGCGACGCCGCGUGAACGAAGAAGGCUUUCGAGUCGUAAAGUUCUUUUAUAUGGGAAGAUAAUGACGGUACCAUAAGAAAAAGCCCCGGCUAACUACGUGCCAGCAGCCGCGGUAAUACGAAGGGGGCUAGCGUUGUUCGGAUUUACUGGGCGUAAAGCGCACGUAGGCGGACUUUUAAGUCAGGGGUGAAAUCCCGGGGCUCAACCCCGGAACUGCCUUUGAUACUGGAAGUCUUGAGUAUGGUAGAGGUGAGUGGAAUUCCGAGUGUAGAGGUGAAAUUCGUAGAUAUUCGGAGGAACACCAGUGGCGAAGGCGGCUCACUGGACCAUUACUGACGCUGAGGUGCGAAAGCGUGGGGAGCAAACAGG